CAUAGCUUCUUUAACCCCGACCUUGAGAGAGACAAUAAAAACGGCCAGUGGAGACCCAGCCUUGUCAGUGUAUUCAAACGAAGAUUUGUCUUCCAGAGUUGUUGCUCAGCAGUGAACCUGAUCAUGUCUGGAUAUGACCGAGCUCGGGUACUGUGCCUUCCCUGGGAAUAAGCGAGAAAGUGCUGCGAGCCCUCCAGGACUAUGCCUUUACACGCUGGUGAGCGACCAAAUCCAUGAGUCAAGGGGAAACUUAAGAAGCCUAACAGCCUGUCUGAGAGCUUCAUAAGGAAAACCUGAACAAGCUGCUGACAAAGUUCUCCCUUUGUGUGCUGCAUCAUCCCAAUGAAACUAGAACUCCAGGUGGACUGGAGUGAACCCCCCCGCCCCAAUACUGUAGAUUACAGAAUGUUACAUUUUGCACCCAUUUUUCAUCUCAGUCUGGCAAUCUAGGAGUGUGACAUUCUGUAUUCCUCGUAUAGGGAACUUGAUUUCAGAAUGUGUAGCAGACAGAGAGCUGUUCUGACACUGGCGCUCAUGGUGAUUGUGUGGAAUAGUCGUGCUUGAAACGCAGCGAAGCGCUGGCCGUGAUCGAGCCGUGGCUGGAGGGCACAGAGACAGAUAAUUCUGAGGUCAAGAGGAAAGAGCCGGAGGAGAAGGAAGUCAGACUGAGAAGAAAGACCCGUCUGCAGCUCCAGAAUGAAAGCGCUCAAACAUAAAGAAUGACAGGAAGUAUAUCUGGGCAUCUUCACUAGCCCAGUGUCUAGACAAAACUGGCAACAAGCUCACUGCUAUUUUGACAAAAUAAUACCGUGGGCAAACAAAAUAAAAAGUAUGGUUUGCAAGGCCUUUUGUUUUUUUGUAUUUUAAAAGAAGCAAUACACACAUUUGAUUGCAUUUCCAACUCCUAAACUGACACUGGCAAGGACUAGUAGAUUCACCUGCUAGCAAGUCAGUAAGAUUUAAACUAUUUUAACAGGGGAUAAGUAAUAAAGUGAUUGGUGUAAUUCAAGCUUCACUUUAAACCUACAUAAGCGUCCAAAACAGAAAUGUACACUCAACUGUACCAUGCAAAGUCCCUGCUUGUCAUUUAAGCUUUAUCGCCGAUCUGAACACCACCAGCACCCAGAAUGGAGCUUGUACAUUUCAAUAGAGUACAUAUUGACAUGCAGCUCAAGUGCUGUGCAGUAGGUGGACAAAAGGCAAUGCAAUACACAGCUUUUUUCUGGAUCACCAGCACCUGAAUUAUUAUUUAUUUACAUUUUAAAAUCCUAAAUAAAUAAAUAAAUAAAAUAGAUGGGAACUGCCUGUGCCACAGAUGCAGUUUAAAUACUGAGUUUCUGGGGAUGGAGCGACAGCAGCAGCCAAUACACAACACUAGUGAAAAGUAGCGAGAAGAAAACAAAUUUAUUUUUACUUUAUUUUCAAAUUUACAAACAUUACAGUUAAAUAAAAUCAAAUGGAAAACCAAAAACCAUGACAGAAAAGCAAACCGAUGACAGGGACUGGAACUGAAAUGAGAUUAAAGUGCUGCUUUGGAACGGGGGGGCUGGAAAGCAAGAUGCUAAAGAGGGGCUGGGGUCACUUUUGGUCGCUGGUUGGUAAUGGUUGCAAUGAUUAUAAGACACUUGUUGGGUGUAUUUUAAUCUGUAAGAUUUAAUUAAAAAAAAAAAAAAAAAAAAGUACAGUCAAGAUAGCCACUAAAAUUGUCCUUCACACGAACCAUUCAAAACUAUACAAAGAGAAUGAAAAAAAUUAUAUUAAAAAACAGGUCAAGGUGGUAAAUUUAAAUAACUAAUAGAUGUUGAAAAUGUGAGCCACGUAAACAGAAAAAAAAAAAUACAAUUAAAAAAACCACACCUGUUCAGCCAACAAGUUGCACCCAUGGAAAAAAUAUACAGGAUUGUGGACCAGACAGACAUGGGAUAAAUAGUUAUAAAUAUGGUUUAUGAAAAGUAACUUAUUUGAAAAUAAUUAAAUACAAAUUGUAAAUAAUUAAA